AGUGAACGCUGGCGGUAGGCCUAACACAUGCAAGUCGAACGGCAGCACAGUAAUAGCUUGCUCUUACGGGUGGCGAGUGGCGGACGGGUGAGGAAUACAUCGGAAUCUACUUUUUCGUGGGGGAUAACGUAGGGAAACUUACGCUAAUACCGCAUACGACCUACGGGUGAAAGCAGGGGAUCUUCGGACCUUGCGCGAUUGAAUGAGCCGAUGUCGGAUUAGCUAGUUGGCGGGGUAAAGGCCCACCAAGGCGACGAUCCGUAGCUGGUCUGAGAGGAUGAUCAGCCACACUGGAACUGAGACACGGUCCAGACUCCUACGGGAGGCAGCAGUGGGGAAUAUUGGACAAUGGGCGCAAGCCUGAUCCAGCCAUACCGCGUGGGUGAAGAAGGCCUUCGGAUUGUAAAGCCCUUUUGUUGGGAAAGAAAAGCAGCAGGUUAAUACCCCGCUGUUCUGACGGUACCCAAAGAAUAAGCACCGGCUAACUUCGUG
rnacentral:rRNA from 1 species